GUAGCGCCGUAAGAGGGAAAAUCAGGGAAUUCGAUGCACCUGUGCCUAGUUAGGGACAGCGGUUGGUGAUUGGAGGAUACGCUGGACAAGGCAGUACUUAAGGCCAAGUUAUUUCACAGUCUGGGAGCUCUUUCUGGUGUGUGUGAAGCACUGUGUCGUGCCCGUCUUGGUGCGCUGCUGGUGGCUGUCUAACUCUCUCUCUCCCUCAGGCUGGAAUUGUAUGAUUGUGAAGACAUCGCGAACCUUAAAGGUUGAGAAGUGAACGGAUUAUACGGCGAAUUGAGACGACGUGAAAAAGGGGAUUGGAAGCGGCAUUGAUGUGAGUACUAAGAGCAAGCCGAAAGUGCCCUGUAUAUUGACCUGGUGUUGUGUAGAUCUCUCCAGGAGGAGGAGGGCGGCCCUACCCCUAAUAUAGCGUGGUGGGAGAGCCGAAGGAAUACUUAUUGAAGUAGUCACAACGACGACAUCACUAGCUAGGCCGCAUAUUCCAUCGCCAGAUCCGAACCAAGCGAAGUGAAGGAAGACGGGUGUCCUUUUCGUACACUGAGUGUGGUGGGUGAGUCUUCGUGCUGUGAAAACCUAUAAUUUUGACGUGGUGCUGUAUAUUGCUGUGGGUUGCUGUGUAUUGCCGUGUGUCCUGUCAGAUAAACCCCCGCCUUCAUGCACUUCGUCGCGGGAGGACAAGGAGACUGCUGGUUCUAGCCUAGUUCAGUACAGUAUAUGUUGUGAGCGUGCUUCAGAUCUCCGGAGAUAGCACGGUACGCUGUGUUCAGCCCAGAGGUGAGAGCUAUUCAAAGUAAACUAACUGUGCUAUUGUGCCCAAGUUGAUACCUGUGGAGAGUGAAGGAAAGAGAGAGUGAGUAACACAAGGAGAAACAGAGGAAACCUGUACUUACAGUACGCUGUGUUCAGCCCAGAGGUGAGAGUCAUUCAAAGCAAACUAACUGUGCUAUUGUGCCCAAGUUGAUACCUGUGGAGAGAAAAGGAGAGCGAGUGGGUAACACGAGGAGAGACCGAGGAAACCUGUACUUACGCCGCUGCCUGUGGAGAAAGAGAAAGCGACCGUUGCCUGUGGAGGAAGAGAAAGAGAGUGAGCACCCCGAGAACGAACUGUGUGAACCAGUACUUACCGUGAGUUGUAUUCAGCGAAGAGGAGGAAGAAGGAGGGCGCUACGGAUACCUAAGACUCUGGCCGGGCCCCGAGUCCCACGCCCCGGAUCCCCGUGGCCCCCUUGCUCCCUGACCUCUUCCCGGCCAUAGCCCAUCUGGAGGGCCGAGUCAGAGUUUAGUUUUAAUUGCCCUUUCCCUAUUCCCCAAGCUAUUUUUAAAUAUUUAA